CUGCUGGGUUGAAUUACUGGUUUAUUGUAAAACACAGUUACUCUGGCUGUGCCACAGGCCUUUUAAUAUGGCUGGAGCCUGUAACUUUUAAGCCCUCGCAUGACUUCAGCGCGAGAGACAGCUGCAGUGGUCCCCCAGUCUCUAGCUGAAACAUAAAAAUGAAAACCUGGGAAGUGCCAGCUCGUGCCCUGGGUCCCAGAAAACAGAUCAGUUCCAUUCCCCGCAGCAACGUGAAAGCGAGGCCCUGCUUGCACUGUUGACUGAUGACAGCAAUCCAGACAGAGGACACUCGCUUGCUAUCCAUGAAAAGGUGACCACAUCUCAGAGGCAACUGAGAGAAGCAAGGAAAGACACAGAAAGGACUGCGGUCCUUUCCCCACAACUUGAGUAAGAGGCAAUGGGUGUUCAUCUUCUCCGGAGGCGGGCACAAACCCCUCCUCCUGGUCCAGGCACAGUAGUGAGGUGGGGGUGAUGUGCUUAUGUGGUAUAGUCCAGC
ensembl:lincRNA